GCAAGUCGAACGGUAACAGGGACUUCGGUCCGCUGACGAGUGGCGCACGGGUGAGUAACGCGUGGAUAUCUGCCUAUUAGUGGGGGACAACUACGGGAAACCGUAGCUAAUACCGCAUAAGCUCUACGGAGGAAAGCAGGGGACCUUUCGGGGCCUUGCGCUGAUAGAUGAGUCCGCGUCUGAUUAGCUAGUUGGUAAGGUAAUGGCUUACCAAGGCGACGAUCAGUAUCUGGUUUGAGAGGACGAUC
rnacentral:rRNA from 1 species